CCUACGGGUGGCAGCAGUGGGGAAUAUUGGACAAUGGGGGGAACCCUGAUCCAGCCAUGCCGCGUGUGUGAAGAAGGCCCUCGGGUUGUAAAGCACUUUCAGUGAGGAAGAACGCCUGGUGGUUAAUACCCAUCAGGAAAGACAUCACUCACAGAAGAAGCACCGGCUAACUCCGUGCCAGCAGCCGCGGUAAUACGGAGGGUGCGAGCGUUAAUCGGAAUUACUGGGCGUAAAGCGCGCGUAGGUGGCUUGAUAAGCCGGUUGUGAAAGCCCCGGGCUCAACCUGGGAACGGCAUCCGGAACUGUCAAGCUAGAGUGCAGGAGAGGAAGGUAGAAUUCCCGGUGUAGCGGUGAAAUGCGUAGAGAUCGGGAGGAAUACCAGUGGCGAAGGCGGCCUUCUGGACUUACACUGACACUGAGGUGCGAAAGCGUGGGUAGCAAACAGGAUUAGAUACCCCUGUAGUC
rnacentral:rRNA from 1 species